rnacentral:rRNA from 1 species
GACGAACGCUGGCGGCGUGCUUAACACAUGCAAGUCGAACGGAGUGGCGAACGGGUGAGUAACACGUGGGUGAUCUGCCUUGCACUUCGGGAUAAGCUUGGGAAACUGGGGCUAAUACCGGAUAGUGCAAGAUGAGCUCGCGGCCUAUCAGCUUGUUGGUGGGGUAAUGGCCUACCAAGGCGUCGACGGGUAGCCGGCCUGAGAGGGUGUACGGCCACAAUGGGACUGAGUGACGGCCCAGUCUCCUACGUUAGGCAGCAGUGGGGAGUAUUGCGCAAUGAGGGGAAGCCUGAGGCAGCGACGCCGCGUGGGUGAUGAAGGCCUUGGGGUUGUAAACGCCUUUCGACAGGGACGCGGUACCUGUAGAAGAAGCACCGGCUAACUACGUGCCAGCAGCCGCGGUAAUAC